AUAUAUAAAUCUCGUUUUUACCACUAGAUUUUGCCUUCUUCGAAACGAUUCUCAGAAAACGUUUGAUAUAGAGUAAAUAGAUUCGGUCGUGCCUUACUAUCAUCAGCACGCAAUCACACGCGUACGGAUAGGCACAUAGCCUAAACAGACGAGGCAAACUGACCGUUGAUCUUGCUGCUGUUCUGUCUAGUUCUGCCCCAUUCUAUCUGGUUCUGCGUGUGAGAAAUCUUUUUACGAGCUGUCGACGAUUGUUCAAAAUGCCUGAUGUCAGCGUAUGACCAUAUAAUUACAACUCCAUGCGUUCUGGGUCGCUUAGCCGGCUGAGCUCGCUGCUUCCUCGAAUAGAGAACGUCGCAAUAGCAGGGUGAUGCAAUCCUUCCCUAUCAAUAUGUAUGCCAGCCAAAAUUUUUUUCCUAUUGGGCAGUGGUUUCUCAAGGGCCUACGAUGUUAGAUGGACUGCACGAAUUGACACCUUAACGUAAUGCACGACUGUGAAACUCCAUGCAAACACGAAACAAAGUGUACGGAACUGUUGCGUGCAGUAGAAUCUUUGUGAAGCAUCGCAUUCGAAACUCAAUUAAGUAACUAAAUAUAUUGCGCAGUCAGUCUCCGCUUAUAAGUGUCCCGAAUUUCGCACCCGGUACGCUAUCCAUUAGGCGUUACUUUAGACAGCUGAAUCCCACCAUGAAGCAAAAUGGGUCUGUGACAGGGUUCGAAUUUCCCAAUUUUCGUAUUCCUACGGUGAAACACGUUAUCACCGUGACGGGGACGCGCUAAUUUCCACUCUUGUGAGCCUUAGUGGAAAAGGCAGAGUGUACAGAGGGGUUUGUUGGGCCCGUCAGGUGGCUCACGGUAAGCAGUACUCGUACGUGUUGCCUAUUGUAAUAAUAGUAGCUCACCAACUAGGCUAACAUAAUAUAUACAUCAUAUAUGUCUACACUUGUGAAUUUUGUUUAGAAAAAAGUCGGAUCCAAAAAUACUGUUGGCUGGCUGCUGGGAGGUUCUGGGCUACCUAUGCACCCGUCAAAGCGGGCUGUUCUUAGGGCCAGUGGUGGGUUCGACAACGACGACACUAAUAGCGGUGGCCAGCAAAAGCCAGUUUGUAGAUGUUAUCCAGACGCCUCAAAUGAGAUCAGUUUGUCUGGUCUGGCUGUGGUGCGACAGGUACACUAUAGACAGGUACAGGCCGUGCUGGUGCAGAACUUCUGACCCGUGAAUCGCUAUAUGUAUGUGUGAUCGUGCAUGAGCUAUACGAAUCUAAAGUCUCUGAUCGUCGCAGCGGUGCUUUUUAUAUUCGUCGGACACAAUUUCAUGCACCCCUCCAACCCCUUAGCCCUUCAAACCUAGACACUCCUUAUGUCUCUACAGCAAGUCCGACAAUCCCUACGCCACUGCCAUUGCGGUGAUUCCUGUCACUUCUGCAAAGUGCCGUGAGAACUAACCAGGUUCAAUCCGUUCUACGAAUAAUUCCGUUUGCCUCCAUGGCAAUGUCUUUUCCGUUGAAUGAAAAAAAAAGAUUGGAUACUGCUGUCAACCAGAAACCACUGCGCCACUACAAUCGAAGCAGGAUAACGAAGUUUCUGCAUCUGUUGGUUUGAAUAAAGCGUAUGAGCUGACUAGAAUAUGGGAAAUUGUGUACAAACGUAUACAUAAACGCUCGUACGUUCAAUGUGUAACAUUGUUCUCUGCUAUCCCAAGCCACUACAAUUAGCACAAUGCAUUCUUCCGAAAAAGCUGGAGGAAAUCUAACUGAUUCUCGUCGUCGUCGUCGUCGUCGUCGUCGUCGUCGACGACCACCAAAGCUAUAGAUACGAACAAUUUUAACAAAAGCAGACUUUGUGGCAAUUCAAAAAAGGCCAUCUCCGUUCAUACUGAUCUUUCUGCCUAGUGAUUGCGCUGAUAUAUACAGAAUCAAAUUGACACUUUCUGUUUUUCUUUUCAAGACGUAUCCCUUUUGCGCACUACCUCUGAAAGGCGUCGCUUUGCGAUUGAUUCGCUGCUGCAGCUGUUCAAUUUGGUGAAUUCUUUUAACGCGGCGACGGCGCGAACGUUAACUUUUUUUUUCUUUUUUCCCAGAAUUACGUUUCCUCACCGCCAACAAAACCUUUUUAGCCAAAGUGUCCUUAUCUAAUCUCUGGCGACGGGAUGAAUCUUAUGGCGAUAAAGUCGUUCUACGUAGUAGUUUCGCUAUUCGUCUUCUAUGUCUGUAAGCCAACGGCGCUUGAUUGCAUACGAUUUUGAGCUGAUAGUUGUCGAGCAUGCGUUACGGCUAUGGGUCGUACUGGUUUAGUCUUCAGCGCGACCGCUUCAUCACUUUAUGCUAUUUUGAAGCAACGUGCGACGAUGGCCCGAAGUAAUUACGACAAUACCUAGUAUUGUGAUUGGAUUUGUCUAGGCUUCUGUGUGACGCUGUGUGACCACUUCUUCCGGGCGGUAAGCUCCAAUUUAAUCACAACUCCAUACAAAAUCUCCAUAAAAUUACACAAGAAAUAGGAAAAAACGGCGCUCAUUUGUGCCUCUUUCCGUGUGCGCUUAGCGGCAGCCAGCUCGCUACAGACGAAGGGCGUAUCGUCGCCGGCGCCACUACAUCAAUUGACAGACGGAUUAUCGGACUUUGAAUUCUUCUGAAUAACGCAACUACUAAACGGUGGCGGGCGUAAAGUGAUAAGCGGUCAUCGGCGCGACGCGGCGCCGCGCUACCAGCAGAAAACGCGAAUGGCAAAUAUUCCAUCCAAGAAGAUUGGCAGGAAAAUAGGAGAACCUCAUCGAGCAGCAAUAAUCUACUUGAAGCGGCAGAUGGCAAGCUUACCAUAUUUUCUCUUCUAACUGAUAUUAGCAGUGGCAAAAGCCUUCGCAUCUGUAUCGAUCAAUACUUCAGCUUUCAACACGAGGCCGUAAUUCUGCUGCCCGCUCAUCCACUCACUCGCUGAUGGUGCGCCGGUGUCCGAGGAUCCGUCUCAUUAUCAUAUUUUCGUCGAACAAAAUUUAUUUCCAAUCAAUAAUCGGCUCCCUUUUUGCAUUCAUCAGAAGAGGGCAAUUGUCUUGUGGGCAGCAUUAAGUGCGACGAUCAGAAGCAGGCUGGUGGUGCUUGAUGGCAAAGUCGGACACAGGGCCAUUCGGCUAUAGUUGCUCCGAGCUGUCUUUCGUGCGCCGUGGGUCAAUCUGCGACAUCAGCAGGUAGACACGUACGACUGACCGUAUCGCCGGUCUGCGGAGAUCGUUCGAAUGGUGCCGACAGUGACGAUGAACGAUCCAUGACGUCCGGAACGUCGUCAGACAUCACCGUCAUCGAUACCACAACCAUAAUUGAAUGAAUUUACUAUUAUGAUGCGUACGCAGGUAGACAAAGCUGCAGCCAUUGUUCCCAAGCCUAACUCGUCAAUUGCUUAUUACAAUAAAUUGCAUCUGUACAAUAAAUUUACGCUCUGGAAGCAACAAUAGCACAGUACCAUGUGAUACCGCUAACCAGCAUUCGCUAAUAAUAGAACGGACGAUUAUCAUAACGACGGUGAUCAUUGUCGUCGUCGUCGUCGUCUCCAGCAGCCUUCCGCUGAUCUUCAUUAGCAUCACCAAUAUUGUCGUAGUAAUAGAUAAUAAUCGGAAACAACUUUGUCAUGUAGGUGGCCCGCUUUAAUUUGAUAUUGCUACGCUGCCGUGCGCGGAUUCAGUCGGAGCAACUUGGCGCUGUCUGAGCUCCAUUACAGUCCGCCGCUCGACGAGUCGGCUAAACGGAACCCAUUUUGAGGCACGCAAGCGAUGCGUCAGCGCAGAUAUACAUUAUCAGCGGUAAACGCACGCAUACGAAUACAUGGUGAUCAUGGUAAAUGGCUAUUGUUAGCUCGUUACACCCGGACCAAUGCUGUGACUGUCGCUGAUUGCUUUUUUUCGUUGUCGCUACCACGACUGACUGUCGGCAGGUGACGACCGACGACGAAUUCAAUCGACAUGUCAGAUUUCCGUCAACGGCAGCUGAGACGACGGCGAACGGCAUGGAGAGCCAAAGGCCAAAUGGAAACAGAGACUGCCCGCUACUGUCCUGCGACCAUUAGUAGUUCUGGUCCGUUUACAACAACGACCCCCUCUAGCGGUACGCGCAGCAAUCAAACGCGUCGUAUCAUUUGCACAUAUAGCAUCCGCAGGCUCCUAUUUGCAUUGUUGUUGUACAAUCCCUCGAUAAUUUUAUGUUACGUUACGAUUGUUUUGUUCGUGCCGAUAUCUACUCGUGUUCUGUGUCGCUUGUUGCCGAUCAUCACCACCACCGUCGUCGUCAUCAUCGCGAAAAGAGUAAGAAUAGAACCCGGAACCUCUGACAAUACAGAAUAGAUUCAGAUAUGAACAAAUAACAAGGGCGCUGUGCUGUACGGCGUAGAAGUACAACUUUAUGGCGAGCAUGAUAAAGCUACGGGAGCGCGUUUUGCGACAAUAACUGUAUAUGCGGCGCACAAAUAUUGAUGAUUGAU